rnacentral:lncRNA from 1 species
GAAAAUGGUGUGAUUGUCUGAAAUAUAAAAGGAAUGAAGUAAUUGACUUCAUAGAUUAUUUUUCUAUUUUAUUUUAUUAUUUUAUUAAUUUUAUUAAUAAAAAAAGUUACAUAGUGAUUUAUACCAAACAUCAAUAAUACUUACAGUCCGAUACGCACAAAGUGGCACUGUAGAUCGGCAAAUUUGGGUUUUUUGCUCCUGUUCACCAUUCCAAAACUUCCAUCCCGUUUGCCUUUUCCUCGUUUCUUUCAUUCCUUUUCCUGUUUUGUUUGGAUCCAUUUAAUGCCUUUUCUAUUC